GAUGAACGCUGGCGGCGUGCCUAAUACAUGCAAGUCGAGCGAACGGACGAGAAGCUUGCUUCUCUGAUGUUAGAGGCGGACGGGUGAGUAACACGUGGUUACCCUACCUAUAAGACUGGGAUAACUUAGGGCAACCGGAGCUCAUACCGGAUAAUAUUUUGAUCCGCUUGGUUAAAACGCGAAAGACGGUCUUGCUGCCACUUAUAGAUGGAUCCGCGCUGCAUUAGCUAGUUGGUAAGGUAACGGCUUACCAAGGCAACGAUGCAUAGCCGAACUGAGAGGGUGAUCAGCCACACUGGAACGGAGACACGGACCAGACUCCUACGGGAGGCAGCGGUAGGGAAUCUUCCGCAAUGGGCGGAAGCCUGACGGGGCAACGCCGCGUGAGUGAGGAAGGUCUUCGGAGCGUAAAACUCUGUGAUUAGGGAAGAACAUAUGUGUAAGUAACUGUGCACAUCUUGACGGUACCUAAUCAGAAAGCCACGGCUAACUACGUG
rnacentral:rRNA from 1 species